rnacentral:rRNA from 1 species
UACGUAGGUGGCAAGCGUUGUCCGGAUUUACUGGGCGUAAAGAGCGCGCAGGCGGUCGUUUAAGUCGAAUGUGAAAGCCCCCGGCUCAACUGGGGAGGGUCAUUCGAUACUGAUCGACUUGAAGGCAGGAGAGAGAAGUGGAAUUCCCGGUGUAGUGGUGAAAUGCGUAGAUAUCGGGAGGAACACCAGUGGCGAAGGCGACUACCUGGCCUGUUCUUGACGCUGAGGCGCGAAAGCUAGGGGAGCAAACGGG